rnacentral:rRNA from 1 species
UAUAAUGGGUCAGCGACUUAUAUUCUGUAGCAAGGUUAACCGUAUAGGGGAGCCGAAGGGAAACCGAGUCUUAACUGGGCGUUAAGUUGCAGGGUAUAGACCCGAAACCCGGUGAUCUAGCCAUGGGCAGGUUGAAGGUUGGGUAACACUAACUGGAGGACCGAACCGACUAAUGUUGAAAAAUUAGCGGAUGACCUGUGGCUGGGGGUGAAAGGCCAAUCAAACCGGGAGAUAGCUGGUUCUCCCCGAAAGCUAUUUAGGUAGCGCCUCGUGAACUCAUCUUCGGGGGUAGAGCACUGUUUCGGCUAGGGGGCCAUCCCGGCUUACCAACCCGAUGCAAACUACGAAUACCGAAGAAUGUUAUCACGGGAGACACACGGCGGGUGCUAACGUCCGUCGUGAAGAGGGAAACAACCCAGACCGCCAGCUAAGGUCCCAAAGUCAUGGUUAAGUGGGAAACGAUGUGGGAAGGCCCAGACAGCCAGGAUGUUGGCUUAGAAGCAGCCAUCAUUUAAAGAAAGCGUAAUAGCUCACUGGUCGAGUCGGCCUGCGCGGAAGAUGUAACGGGGCUAAACCAUGCACCGAAGCUGCGGCAGCGACGCUUAUGCGUUGUUGGGUAGGGGAGCGUUCUGUAAGCC